rnacentral:tRNA from 1 species
AGCGGUGUGGAGAAGUUGGUAUCUCGUCGGGUUCAUGCCCCGAAGGUCGGUGGUUCAAGUCCACCCACCGCCACCA